UACGUAGGGGGCAAGCGGUUGUCCGGAUUUAUUGGGCGUAAAGAGCGUGUAGGCGGCCAUACAGGUCAGCUGUGAAAACUCGAGGCUCAACCUCGAGACGUCGGUUGAAACCGUAUGGCUAGAGUCCGGAAGAGGAGAGUGGAAUUCCCGGGUGUAGCGGUGAAUGCGCAGAUAUCGGGGAAGAACACCCGUGGCGAAGGCGGCUCUCUGGGAGCGGUACUGACGCUGAGACGCGAAAGCGUGGGGAGCGAACAGG
rnacentral:rRNA from 1 species